rnacentral:rRNA from 1 species
CCGAUAGUGAACCAGUACCGUGAGGGAAAGGCGAAAAGAACCCCGGCGAGGGGAGUGAAAAAGAACCUGAAACCGUGUACGUACAAGCAGUGGGAGCACAGAGCAAUCUGUGUGACUGCGUACCUUUUGUAUAAUGGGUCAGCGACUUAUAUUCUGUAGCAAGGUUAACCGAAUAGGGGAGCCGAAGGGAAACCGAGUCUUAACUGGGCGUUAAGUUGCAGGGUAUAGACCCGAAACCCGGUGAUCUAGCCAUGGGCAGGUUGAAGGUUGGGUAACACUAACUGGAGGACCGAACCGACUAAUGUUGAAAAAUUAGCGGAUGACUUGUGGCUGGGGGUGAAAGGCCAAUCAAACCGGGAGAUAGCUGGUUCUCCCCGAAAGCUAUUUAGGUAGCGCCUCGUGAAUUCAUCUCCGGGGGUAGAGCACUGUUUCGGCAAGGGGGUCAUCCCGACUUACCAACCCGAUGCAAACUGCGAAUACCGGAGAAUGUUAUCACGGGAGACACACGGCGGGUGCUAACGUCCGUCGUGAAGAGGGAAACAACCCAGACCGCCAGCUAAGGUCCCAAAGUCAUGGUUAAGUGGGAAACGAUGUGGGAAGGCCCAGACAGCCAGGAUGUUGGCUUAGAAGCAGCCAUCAUUUAAAGAAAGCGUAAUAGCUCACUGGUCGAGUCGGCCUGCGCGGAAGAUGUAACGGGGCUAAACCAUG